UCCAUUCAGUUUGACUCGGGACAUAUGGAUAUUGCUGAAAGUUGCACACAGGCAUCUGCGUGUGUGCUCAGGGGUCCUAAUUAUCUUGGGUAAAUGUCUGUUUUCUUUUUUCCAGGAGGGAAACUUCGAUAGAUUUUUUGCUUGGAGUUUGCCUUGAAUUCCCAAUUAAACGGUUCUUGGUCUAGAGUACAGUACUCGUCUUCACUGAAAAGAUUUUCAAUCAUUUUGUGGGCCACAAGUCAUGUCUGGUAUAGCAUUAAGUCGUCUCGCACAAGAACGGAAGGCUUGGCGGAAAGACCAUCCUUUUGUAAUCGUAGCUGUAA